ensembl:misc_RNA Metazoa_SRP Metazoan signal recognition particle RNA
GCCACCGUGGUGGCAUGUGCCUGUAGUCCCAGCUACUCAGGAGGCUGAGGUGGGAGGAGCGCUUAAGUCCAGGAGUUCUGGGCUGUAGUGCGCUAUGCCGAUCCGGUGUCCGCACUAAGUUCGGCAUCAAUAUGGUGACCUCCCGGGAGCGGGGGACCACCAGGUUGCCUAAGGAGGGGUGAACAGGCCCAGGUUGGAAACGGAGCAGGUCAAAACUCCCGUGCUGAUUAGUAGUGGGAUCGCACCUGUGAAUAGCCACUGCACUCCAGCCUGGGCAACAUCGCGAGACCCCGUCGCUU